CGGGGCGGGGCAGGCGCGGCGGCCGCGGGGGCCGGAGCGGCCGAGGCGCCGCGCCCGCUCCAUGGAGGCCGCGGCCGAGGCCCCGCCGGCGCUCAGCUGCUUCUCCUACAACCAGGACUGCACCUCCCUGGCAAUUGGAACCACAACUGGAUACAGACUUUUCUCCUUAAGCUCUGUGGAACAACUGGACCAGGUCCAUGAAAGCAAUGAAAUCCCAGAUGUUUACAUCGUGGAGCGUCUGUUCUCCAGCAGCCUUGUGGUUGUGGUCAGUCAUGCCAAGCCACAGCAAAUGAAUGUCUACCACUUCAAGAAAGGGACAGAGAUCUGCAACUACAGCUAUUCCAGUAACAUCCUGUCCAUCCGGCUGAACCGUCAGAGGCUGGUUGUUUGCCUGGAAGAGUCAAUUUACAUCCAUAACAUUAAGGACAUGAAGCUUUUGAAGACUAUUCUGGAUACACCUCCAAACACAACAGGUCUGUGCGCUCUCUCGAUCAACCACGCCAACUCCUACUUGGCUUAUCCCGGCAGCGCGACCAGCGGAGAGAUCGCGCUUUACGACGGAAAUACUUUGAAAACAGCCUGCACCAUCCCUGCCCACGACGGGCCUCUGGCUGCUCUCGCCUUCAACUCCACCGGCUCCAAGUUGGCAAGUGCUUCUGAAAAAGGCACAGUCAUUCGUGUAUUUUCCAUUCCUGGGGGGCAAAAGCUCUAUGAAUUCCGGCGGGGGAUGAAAAGGUAUGUGAACAUCAGCUCCCUGGUGUUCAGCAUGGAUUCCCAGUUCCUCUGUGCUUCCAGCAACACGGAGACCGUGCACAUCUUUAAACUGGAGCAUCUCACGGACAGCCGGCCAGAGGAGCCUCCAACCUGGAGUGGUUACAUGGGGAAGAUGUUCCAGGCUGCCACCAACUACCUCCCUGCUCAGGUGUCGGGCAUGAUGAGCCAGGACAGAGCCUUUGCCACUGUCCGCCUGAACAUCUCCGGGCAGAGGAACAUCUGUGCCCUCUCCACGAUUCAGAAGCUGCCUCGGCUGUUGGUGACUACGUCAGAUGGACAUCUCUAUAUCUACAACCUGGACCCGCAGGAUGGAGGGGAGUGUGUCUUAAUUAAGAACCACAGUCUGCUUGGCUCAGGAAAGAUGGAAGAGAACAAAGAAAAUGACCUUCAGCCUCCAGUACCUCAAUCUUAUGCAGCAACUGUAGCCAGGCCAAGUACAGUGCCUUCAACUUCGACCAUGCCAGGCUACUCGGAGGACGGCGGGGCCCUGCGAGGAGAGGUGAUCCCAGAGCACGAGUUUGCGACGGGACCGGUCUGCCUGGACGAUGAGAAUGAGUUCCCUCCUCGUGCAACAAAAAGACAUUUAAAAACCUCAAAACUUGUGACAAAAUGGAAUAUUCACCCGCAGCCCACGGUAUGGCUUUGAACUCAGACAUGGUUCUGGAGAAACAGCAGUGCUCAAACCCCACAGUUCCUCUCCAUUUUGAAACAUCUUGUCUUCCCUUGACCUCAAGCGAGACUUCAGAGGCUCAGCUCUUAAAGAGUGAGGAAAAACAGCUUCAGCCUGACAUGAAGUCUGUCAAAAACUGCCUCUUCAUUAAAUGGAAGGAGGGACAGAUCAGAGAAGAGAUAAGAAGCCCAAGGAGGACUCAUAAAAAGUGGCCUCACAAGAGGGAAUGUGGAUGUUGCUGCCGAUUGUGCCAGGACUGCGGAAGGAUCCUGCGGCAAGAGAUAAUCUUGUGCCGUGGAGGUCAGCCGGGCAAGGCGAAGAGGUCGUGAUGAGGAGCAAACAUCCCCGGAGGACAGCUGCUGGGAGCGCUCUGGAAAAGCCAGGAAUUUCCAAGAACACAUCUGAGAGUCCCCAAGAUGAGAACAAAAAAAAAAAAAGUAUAAAUCUGAGGUGGGCCACACUUUCUCCUACGGCCUGUGUGAGUGAGUACCUGGCCCUGUCAUAGCCCCUGUUUUAAUUUGUGUUGGGUGGGGUGUCAAUGUACUGUAUGCACAUCACUCUUAUUUAACAGACUCUAUGUUAGAACCACAGUGUAAAUGCUAAUUUAAUCAGAUUUGUAUGUAACCAGAAUUUUAUAUACCCAUUUGUCCCUUUUCUAAUUUAUGCUGUUUUAUGUGUAUAAAUGUACUUAUAGGAAGAGAUAUUAAACUUAUGUAUUUGUACAGUAUAUACAUACUAUUUUAACCCAGGCAAAGUAUUUUUGCAGUGAUAUUAGAGAAGAUGCCAUUUGCUAUGUUCAAAGACAGAAUAAAGUCACAGUCUGUCCCUGGCA